rnacentral:rRNA from 1 species
CAGUAGCCGCGGGAAAACGGAGGGUCAAGCGUUAAUCGGAAUUACUGGGCGUAAAGCGCACGCAGGCGGUCUGACAAGUCAGAUGUGAAAUCCCCGGGCUUAACCUGGGAACUGCAUUUGAAACUGUCAGGCUGGAGUCUUGUAGAGGGGGGUGGAAUUCCAGGUGUAGCGGUGAAAUGCGUAGAGAUCUGGAGGAAUACCGGUGGCGAAGGCGGCCCCCUGGACAAAGACUGACGCUCAGGUGCGAAAGCGUGGGGAGCAAACAGGAUUAGAUACCCGUGUAGUCCCUGUCUCUUAUACA